rnacentral:rRNA from 1 species
AACGAACGCUGGCGGCAUGCCUAACACAUGCAAGUCGAACGAGACCUUCGGGUCUAGUGGCGCACGGGUGCGUAACGCGUGGGAACCUGCCCUUAGGUUCGGAAUAACUCCCCGAAAGGGGUGCUAAUACCGGAUAAUGUCUUCGGACCAAAGAUUUAUCGCCUGUGGAUGGGCCCGCGUUGGAUUAGCUAGUUGGUAGGGUAAAAGCCUACCAAGGCGACGAUCCAUAGCUGGUCUGAGAGGAUGAUCAGCCACACUGGGACUGAGACACGGCCCAGACUCCUACGGGAGGCAGCAGUGGGGAAUAUUGGACAAUGGGCGAAAGCCUGAUCCAGCAAUGCCGCGUGAGUGAUGAAGGCCUUAGGGUUGUAAAGCUCUUUUACCCGGGAUGAUAAUGACAGUACCGGGAGAAUAAGCCCCGGCUAACUCCGUG